rnacentral:rRNA from 1 species
AGUAAUGUCUGGGAAACUGCCUGAUGGAGGGGGAGUAACUACUGGAAACGGUAGCUAAUACCGCAUAACGUCGCAAGACCAAAGAGGGGGACCUCGGGCCUCUUGCCAUCGGAUGUGCCCAGAUGGGAUUAGCUAGUAGGUGGGGUAACGGCUCACCUAGGCGACGAUCCCUAGCUGGUCUGAGAGGAUGACCAGCCACACUGGAACUGAGACACGGUCCAGACUCCUACGGGAGGCAGCAUG